GCGACAAUAGCUCAGCUGGAUAGAGCAUCGGCCUACGAAGCCGAGGGUCGGAGGUUCGAAUCCUUCUUGUCGCG
rnacentral:tRNA from 1 species